rnacentral:rRNA from 1 species
CACUCCUACGGGAGGCAGCAGUGGGGAAUAUUGGACAAUGGGCGCAAGCCUGAUCCAGCCAUGCCGCGUGAGUGAUGAAGGCCCUAGGGUUGUAAAGCUCUUUCACCGGUGAAGAUAAUGACGGUAACCGGAGAAGAAGCCCCGGCUAACUUCGUGCCAGCAGCCGCGGUAAUACGAAGGGGGCUAGCGUUGUUCGGAUUUACUGGGCGUAAAGCGCACGUAGGCGGACUAUUAAGUCAGGGGUGAAAUCCCGGGGCUCAACCCCGGAACUGCCUUUGAUACUGGUAGUCUUGAGUUCGAGAGAGGUGAGUGUAAUUCCGAGUGUAGAGGUGAAAUUCGUAGAUAUUCGGAGGAACACCAGUGGCGAAGGCGGCUCACUGGCUCGAUACUGACGCUGAGGUGCGAAAGCGUGGGGAGCAAACAGGAUUAGAUACCCCGGUAGUCCCAUGAU